CGCGUAGGCGGUCUGCACAGUCAGGCGUGAAAUUCCUGGGCUUAACCUGGGGGCUGCGCUUGAUACAUGUGGGCUUGAGUGUGGAAGAGGGUCGUGGAAUUCCCAGUGUAGAGGUGAAAUUCGUAGAUAUUGGGAAGAACACCGGUGGCGAAGGCGGCGACCUGGUCCAUGACCGACGCUGAGGCGCGAAAGCGUGGGGAGCAAACAGGAUUAGAUACCCUGGUAGUCCACGCUGUAAACGAUGUGUGCUGGAUGUUGGGUGGCAUAGCCAUUCAGUGUCGUAGCCAACGCGGUAAGCACACCGCCUGGGGAGUACGGCCGCAAGGUUGAA
rnacentral:rRNA from 1 species